CGGGAGAAGUGAGAAUAAAAAAGCUGACAGGAGAGCUGAAAGACUGGAGAGUUGGGCGAGGGGGAAGGAGAGGAUCAAGAUCUGGGGAGAAAAGCAGAAAGAGAAAGAGUAGAACUGAACAACCGUAAAGCUUCCUGAAAACAUUUUCUGUCGGCUUGCAAAGUGUUGAGUGCCUCUGUCCAAUUGGCUUACUUUCGAAACAGACCCUAACAAUUUGCAAGUACUGUAAUGGGUCGCCGCUUCAAGUAGAACAGUUAUUCCAUUCCAUUGCCGGGGCACGUUGCAGAGAACUCACAGCGUUGAGUAAUCGAAUUUUUAGAGUUAAACCGCCAUCUACUGGAAUACGCAUGUAUAACAGAUUGCGCACUGCUGAUGUGCUAAUGUUAUGUAAUACACAAAUAAAUUGUAUAAGUCUUUAAUGAUAUAGACACAUAUCAAAGUAUGUGAUUAGGUAAAACUCAUUGUGGUCUUCCUUUACAAGGAUAGAUUUCAAAAUAUUUGAUUACAUUAAUAUCAGCCAUAGCUCAGUUGGUAUUAUUUCAGACUUCAUUGAGAUGUUCUGAUUUCAUGGCAUUGUCCAUUUUUGUUAUUAAUGC